AGUUAAUGCAGGAACAGCGAUCGUGCGAGAUGUGGUUGUGAAUGGUCUCUCCGUCUUCCUUCGUAUGAAUGGUCUCACCGUCUCCCUCUCCCUUCGUAUGAAUGUCUCUGUCUCCCUCCGUAUGAAUGACUGUGUCUCCGUAUGAAUGUCUCGCUGCUCCUGUGUUUUCUCAUUACACACUGAUCUUAUUUGAUCUCCCCUGCGUGUCGCAGCCUACACCAGGGGUGAGAUGAUAAAACCACUCUGGCUAAGCCCCCAGCGGGUUGUGUGCGCUGAGCUUAGGUCUUUAGGCUGCUGCACCCGACAUGAUGAAUUGAUCAGAUAUACUAGACCGGGAGGCUCUCACGGGGAUCUCUUCUGUCUGUGAGUAUAAAGGCGAUUCUGAUCGGA